rnacentral:rRNA from 1 species
CAGUUCGGAUUGAAGGCUGAAAUUCGCCUUCCAUGAAGCCGGAAUUGCUAGUAAUGGCAGGUCAGCAUACUGCCGUGAAUACGUUCCCGGGCCUUGUACACACCGCCCGUCACACCAUGAGAGUUGGGAAUACCCGAAGCCUGUGAGCUAACGUUAAGAGGCAGCAGUCGAAGGUAGAAUCAAUGAUUGGGGUGAAGUCGUAACAAGGUAGC